GCCGUGCAGCAUUUUGCCCCUUCUAAAAUACGUUUUCACUCCGUGCCCCGGGGUGGGCGGGUUGGAGCCGGCUGGAACUGGCUGUGUCCAGCACAGGGCAGCCCUGGCCUCUCCUCACACAGGCCGCCCGCCCCGCCGCCCCCGCUGCCAGCGCCUGGGCACCUGCACCCAAUGCACUGGUAAUCAAAAAGGAAUAGCACAAAUAUGUCACAGAAAGAAGAAGAAAGUGAGGACACAGCUAUAUAAGAAUACAUAUUUAUAGAAUCACAGUAUCACUGGGGUUGGCAGGCAGAAUUUUAAUUUUGUUUUUACAGGAAACUCCUUCAUGACAUAAAGUUGGUGGAGUGAGGUCUUCCACCAGCAAUCUAACCUGCAGAAAUUCAACAAAAGAUCUGAAUUUAGAAAUGGGUGGACAUGGAAAUGAAUCCAGUGAUAUGCCUAUCUGGAAAACCAUGAUGUGCAGAUUGUGGCACAGAAGCACGAAGUGGAAACAUAGUAAUUCUAAACCUGACUCUACCAUGUUAUUUCACUGUCAUUUCCAUUUUGCUGAUGUUUUCUUCACCUAGCUUUUCAAAACUAACCCUCAUAGUGGAGGCUACAGAAAGGAAGAAACAAUUUCCAGUUCCUCUGCAGAGAAGGUGUCCCUCUGUGGCUGGAGCAGUGCUGCACAGUGCUGCCAAUAGAAGGAGCAUGCGGUAGAAUGCAGCUGGGGUGUCGUGGAUGAUGGAAUUGCUGAGUGGCUGGAAGGGAUAGUUAUAAAACCAAGCAGUGUCAGGAGAAAGCUAAGAAGAUGAUGGCAGCUUUAAGUGUUUGAAUAAUAAUUCGAAGUUCACAAUGUAGAACAGUCCUGUACACAAAGUAUGAAAUAAUGGAAAGUUUUUCUAAUAGAGAAAGUGAGUCACAAAGGUUCGAUAGACUUUGCUCUAUAAAGGUGAAGAAUGGAACUGAGCUUGCCCAUUAAAGCACUUACGUUCAGGUAUCUCCACGUGGGUGAGAUGUCAAGGUCUCCACUACAAUUAAUAGAGGUCCAGUUAACACAACCCAGGAAACCUUGAGAGCAAUUCGGCUGACUGGCUAACCUGUCAUUUUCUGUUUUAGAGUGAGCUGACAGUACAGGGUAAAUCUCAGUUAACUAAAAUGGAUCUCAUUCUGGAUGCCCAGUCUAAGCUGUCACCUGAGCUCUCUUUGCUAUCAACAGGGAGCAAUCAGUCUUGCAGGAGAACUCUCUCAUUCCUAAAUUAGGCUGUUGUGCCCUGUUUUAGGCUAUCCAUCUCACUCAGACUAAAGGCUUGAUUCUGUUGCUCACCCACAGGCAUUCAGUGCCGUUUGAGAUACCUAAAGCUAUCUUGUCUGUUUGCCACCCACCACACCAGAAAGGUAUGGGUCUUCUAUAGCUACUGUGUCAUAUCUGCCAGAUCUAGGCAUUUCAAAUGGGACUAAAUACCUAUAUGUAGACAAUGGAACUGAGCCUGGAAGUCUAAUUUUAAGUAAGUCAUUAAUUAAAGUCACCCUCAUCCUAACUCUUCACAGUUUGUUUCAUGACAUGGGUGUUGGAAUUAUAGAGUGCUGAAGACUGGUUUUCUGCUUUCUGAUAAAAAUGUCACUGAUUGACUGUUUAUUUUAUCUCUGUGCAUAUCAACUAAGAAAAAAAACAAAACUCCUUACAUCAUAACUAGAGAGAUCACCCCUCCAGAAGAUGGUUUAUAACAGGUGUUAUGGUAUAGAUACAAGUUUGGCAUAACUGAAAACAGUUACUGAUCUCAGCUUUAUGGUAGGUUCAUGUAAAGGCAGUCCAUAGAAUGAAAGCAAAGUUACUAUUUGCAGAAGUGUCUCAAGAAAACACUCAAAAUAAUAUUUCUUCAAAGGUUGUAAUAUACUCACUUAGAAAAAGAACUUGUUUUUGUUUGUUAUAUACUUGCUGAUCUUGUUACAAAAACAAUAGAUGCAGAAGUGUUAAGUGAAAAUACUGUAGUGUGCUUAGAUUGCAUUUUGUGUAGACAGCAGACUGGAGUAUGCAGAAAAAAUGAUCCCCUGAGAAUCCGUGUGCAUCCCUGUUAUAGAAUACCCCUUGAUUUUAGCAAUGAAAUAAAUGAAAAGUUUGGUUUCAGUAUGUUAGAAAAAGAUGUUGCAAAAUGAUGAAAAUAAAGGAAAAGUGGACAUCCUGUUUUAAAUAGAAAGUAAUUGCAUAGCAACUUUAAAAUGACUGGCUUACUCAUGAAAUUGAAAACCCCCGAUCAGUACUGGGCAUAGCACAGGGAACUGUAGAUUAUUUUUCUUAAUAUUGGUUAGCUGGGAAGAAAAAAGCCCAGUUUUAAUGGAAAGGACUAAUGCCACAACCUCAGUGCUGAAAGUCUUGACCCUGGCAAUGGAUCACGUUCAUAAUGGUAUUCUUCAGACAUGGUGGUAUUCAGAGCAAAAGUUCUCAUCAAAGAAAUGAAAAAACCCCUCACUUGCAUCAGACAGAAAAUACGAAUUUCCUUAAUAUGUUAGUUUGCUCCAGGCCAAGGAGGGCUUAAGGACAUUACUCUGCCUGCUGUUCCAUGUUGGUAUUUUAUCAUAUUGUUGUGCAACAUACUAAUUUAUUUGGCAGAGAUAUAACACUAUUUUUCCCCACCAGACAUCUGAGAGAAUAAAAAUAAAGGUGUUUGGGGGGGCUUCUCUGUGACAGUUUUGAAUAAAGCCACUACAGGUCUAAGAAACGGAUGACAGAGAGAGAUAAGAAAAUUGAGUUACACACUAUUAGAUACUCAGUGCAUUACACAUUAGUGGACAAUAAUUGCAACUAACAGCUGUUUUGAGACCACAAAAACUACAGACUCACUCCAUUUUUGUUCUGUUCUAUGAACAAGUCAUCAGAUAUCAGAAAACACAAUACAAUCUAUUUGGAUUUAGAAAUGA